rnacentral:rRNA from 1 species
GAUGAACGCUGGCGGCGUGCCUAAUACAUGCAAGUCGAGCGAACAGACGAGGAGCUUGCUCCUCUGACGUUAGCGGCGGACGGGUGAGUAACACGUGGAUAACCUACCUAUAAGACUGGGAUAACUUCGGGAAACCGGAGCUAAUACCGGAUAAUAUAUUGAACCGCAUGGUUCAAUAGUGAAAGACGGUUUUGCUGUCACUUAUAGAUGGAUCCGCGCCGCAUUAGCUAGUUGGUAAGGUAACGGCUUACCAAGGCAACGAUGCGUAGCCGACCUGAGAGGGGGGUGGGCAACCGGGAAGCGAAGAACCGCGCGAGACGCCAGCGGGAGGCAGAAGAGGGGAUUCUGCGAAAAGGGGCGAAGGCCGGAAGGAGAAAGGCCGCGGGGGGGAAAAAGGUCUUAGAUCUGAAAAACUUUUUUAUUGGGAAAAAAAAAAGGGGAAAUAAAUAAGCCCGUUCUUGCCGCAACAAAAAAAGAAAGCAACGCCAACCUACGGC